UGGAGUCUAUUUUGUGAGCCCAGGAUAGGGUGAGUGUCUUUCUUUUCCUGCUCCAAUAUAAUAAUUCCGUCAGCUAAGCUCCUGGAUAUAUUAUACCAUCUGUAUAUUCAUUGAUUGUACAUUUGUUAAGUCUGUUUUAUGGGAAACUGCUUCAAUCACUAAAUGAAAAUCCAGGUUCUGGUCCCAAAUAGUCUUUUCCACUGAAACUGUGAAAAGUUCAAGUUUUGUUCUAUGCUGGCAAAAAUAAACAAAACACUGCAGUAUGGCUUUUUGCAGGACAGAGGGAAUGUUUAGUAUUCAUCAGGACAACUGAGCCCUGAUGUAGAACAUGGAAGAUCUGCUAUACCCAACUGCUACAAAAAUAAAAAGUGUUUUUUGUCAAGUAAGCAUUUUCUGCUUCAAAAUACUUCUUAAACUCAAGUUCCUAUUUCCUAUCUGAGGAGUGGCCAAAAAUAAUGUGAUGGCCAAGCCAUAUUAAGGCAAACGUAAGCAUAAUGUGCCAGCAUAAUUAACAUUCAAGCUUACAACACACCCCUCUAUGUGUAUUUGUCAGUGUUUAUGUAGAUAAAUGUGCAUAUAUGUACAAACAUGCACCAGUCUCUCCAAAGUCUGAUGUGAACUGUGUGUUUAAGUAAUGCACGCUAAAUUGAUGCUCUAAACUGUGUGUCUUCCCAGACUGAUCAAAGCUCAGAAAGAGAUUUAUUUCAAGAAACCAAGUGCUUUGAAGUGCCCAUGCAAGCUCGAUGCGUAGCUUAUGAUCAAAAUGGAGACUGCAGCAGAGGACAGAAAUUACUCAGGGAAGUAGAAAAUUCCUACGUUAACAGUAUUUGAGAUUGAUCUGUGCAUCUUUUAACAGAUCUUAUGAUCUCUCUUCAGGUAUUUUUAUUUACUGAUCAAAGUUGAUGACUCUCAGAUUUGAAAGGUGGAACAACCUAUAGGCUCAAUGGCACAAGGCUGUGAAUAACUUGCUGGAGUAACAUUAGCUGUAUUUGCUGGAAGAUGGACCCCAAAGGUGACAUUGUCUGGAAAAUCUGCCUCUCGUGCUACCUGGAAUAUGAAGCUGAUGAUUCACUGUUCCACAAACUGUCAUGGAAAGGGUCAUGGAAAACUUGAUGCAGAUGGACAGACGUCUCUACAGGGAUCAUUUCUGUCUUAUGGUCACUUAUCCAGCUUCAGGUUAGGUGCAGAAUUCAAGAAAACUUUCUGACAGGGAUCUGUGUGUCCGACCUGGGGUCUCUCCUGAGCACUGCCUGCAGCUGUGGGAACCUCUUCUGGAAGGAAUCCUGUCCCAGCCUGCUGGAGUGCUGGGACUUGUCCUGGUGGGGGAAUUUCCCUUUUGUAUACAUAUAUAUAUUUUUUUCCCUUCCUCUUUUGUCUCAUAUUAAUAAUGUGAAAACAAAUGCAAGUUGCCAAACCCAGCAGAGAAGGCUGUCUCCCUUGUUCAGAAGUAACAUUUUGUGGAGAUGGUUAUUUCCCUUCUGCUGAAUAUUUACCACCUACUAAAAGAACAGUAAUUGAAAUCCAUUACAAAAAUUGUGAUUUGUUAAUUAAAACCAGAAACUGUGGCAGCUCUUUGCCUCAAAUGCACUUUGCAAGUUCACUUUGUAUAGAUGUUGCAUACAGAAUUGUUAGAAGUCCCGUUCUCCCCAAAAUAUCAGGGGUAAACAUUGUACUGAAGAGAGAAGGAAAGGCACUCAUGUUCAUGAUUUGAGUUCAACUGUAUUUUGAUUUAAAAUAAAAUAAUGAGGGUGUUUCUUAAAGAAUUAAUAAAAUAGUGUAGGAAUAUGGUCAGUAUUGUGCAUACCGGAGCAGUUCCCUCUCUUGAUUGUGAUGCUCUUUCGUACAGCUGAGUAAAACUAAAUACAAUUAUUUCUGUGUAUCUUAGAACCAAGUUUUCUGGUUUACACAAAAUGAGACUCUAACAUUGCCUACAGUCGAUGUGAAAAGGAAACAGGAAACAAAAAAGUCCUUUGGAGAGCAGUUCAAGGGGGUCUGACGUGCUACAAGAGAGCCACAUGACAUCUGCACAUUUUUCUGUACAUUCGCACUGGAAAGAGGAUAGAAUUGCCAGGAAAUGUUGCCCUGUGAUUUCUGUAUUGAAGUGGCUGCAUCUGUGCCACCUGUUGAUGACAUGAUUGGAGCAUUAGUUCUCCCUCUGCCUUUGCACUAUUGAUAACUCUGCUUAACAUCGCCACAGGGGAGGCUUUGUUGGAGGCUGCAGUCACUUCGCCUGAGCAAUGGUGUACAUUGGCUCCGCCAUUCAGCCUUUUUUUCCGACAUUAGUGCAUUUGAAUGGGCCACCAGUGAAGCCAUUCAGUGAGAACAUGCACCGGGGCUCCUGGGUGGCCCGGGCCGCGCUGAGAACCCUCGUUAAUGGACUGCGAGCCGCAGCCUAUUGAGCUCCAUGAACUCGGUGACCAAAGAAAAGUGAGACAAAGAUGUCCCUCGGCGGAACAUGUAGGUCAGCGCCGGACAAAGGCGGACAUCGACCAGUCAAACCUACUUGAUUACUGACUGAAAAGGGGACACCUACUGCCAUGGGAGCGACCCUCCCGCCGGCUGGCCUGCCCUCACCUGCGUGCCAGCCCGCCUCUCGGAAGACGAUUUGCGCUGCAGUUUGCCCGACUGCAAAACGUUUGUCUCCUUUGUUUGUUUGUUUUGCUUCGAACUUAUACCUGCUGGAACGAACAGCUCUUGUUUGUGAUCAUUAAUACUAUCCUGUUAAGCCAGACAGCAGGUAGUGAGAUCUUCUGCUCUCACAAUUAAGGAAAAGGGCAGGAAGACAUGGCUCUGUACAAGCUCUUUACUGGGCUGAAGCUAAGAUGGUCUCACGUGGGUCAGUGUCUUAAAGCCCUUGAUUGGCUUUGAAUAGCGAUAGUAUGCAAGACUAUGCCUGUCCUGGUAUCUCUGUGUGCUCUCCCUGGGGUCCUUUGGGUAAGGGAUUAUUUUUUUGUUGUUGUUGUUGUUUUUUGUUUUUUGUUUUUCCAUGCAGAUUAACAGCAGCACUGUGAGAAGCAUUCUGAGCCCCAAAUACACGUUAUAAACUCAGUUUCCAUUACUGCAUAGGGUCCAGACUUGUGGAAAAGCAGUCCUUCAGGAAGAAUGCUUGUUCUUAAAUGCUGGCCAAGUGGUCUCUGUUCUGGAUGCUAUGAGAUCUCUUGUUCACCCACAACUGGACACCAAGACAGGCAGCUUAUGUGUUCAAUGCUUAAGGAGUGAUACUUUCAGAAAAUGCUUGUAAGAACAGCCUACCUGGGGAGGAACGGAGACUUCAGCUUGACUACUGAUAAGGCAGCAAAAGCAACUCACCUGAGGACUUGCUGACCCUGAAGAAGAGAAAUUAAAUGAAAAAAUGUGUAGCACUGGUAGUAGCCUAUGUUCCUGCUCCACAGCAUGUGGAGCUUGAUACCACUGCAGCUGGGAAUGAUCACGUUCCAGACUUCAGCUGCUGCAGCUGACGACAGCCACAUUCUGCAUUCUCUGCCAUCUCUGCUGUGAGAGCAACAGUUACAGCAAACCUGCAGGGCAGGAGAGCUGCCACGUGUGGCCACACUGUUUCACUAAAAACCUGAAGCACUGUUCAUACAGCUGAAUAGAACUUUGAGGGGAGAUCAGUGGGAGCAGAUAAUUUGUAGAAGAAAAGAGGAGAAAGUAGUCAGAUAUUUUCUCUAAGGUUUCUGUCACUGACAGUCCUGAAUCAUCCUGUGAAGUAAACAGUAGUUAUGACAUCUGAAGAUGAUAAAUUUAAGGAACCAAAAAUAUGCUGUUUUCCACAAUUAACUGCUUUCAGGAAAAAUUGUCAGUUCUUCCUGACAGUAGAAGAAAUCCUGUUUAAGCCAAGGCAGGAGAAACUUGAAGCAGACUUGGACAGCCUGGAGAGGAAACCAAAAAUGCCCCUGGGCUGGGAAGCUUUGCUCUGUUAAGAGCACAGGUUCUGGCCCUGUGUCUUAGACCUACAUAUUGAAAGAGUAUAUUGCAUGGUGUGCCUGCACUUCCUCUGCACUUAUUCUUCCUAUGCCUUAGGGAAGAAUUACAUGCAGCACUUGGCCUUGGAGACUCAAAUAUUCCCUGCUUACUCAUUAUCUUACAUUGCUCAGCUGAUUUUUCCCGGUCAAAUUACUGAACACACAAAAGAAUUAUCAAAUGUUUUUAGUCUAGGCAGUGAAGAAACAAAGCUUGUGUUUUCCUUCAUUUUAAAAUUUUGAACUGCACGUUUUAGUUACAGCUGUGUCACUGCUUCACUGAUUUCAUAGGUAACCUGAGAGAACGCUUUAUGGAGGAAGAACACCAGGGGAUCCUGUGACCAAAUGUAUUUCCUUCUCCUGAUCUAUAAAUGUCUGGCAGAUAUAGAAUUUUUGCCUCACAAAAUCAAAUUUACUUUUUUUUUCUGUGAAGUGAGGCAAUACAGACCCAUGCUUAGUACAUAAUUAUUUAAUAUAUCCCACUAUUUCAUGGUGCAACUCUGACCUGUAACUGAGAUUUAAUGAAGUGCUUUGGCAGAGAAUUAAUAUUAGAAGAAACACAAACCUGCAACUGUUAAGUCUCACUUCAUCCAAUUAUAGCUUGUUCUUAAGUUACAUAAUCUAUUUUACAGGUUUUAGUGUAGGAAAAGAGUAAUCUCUCACAGCAUUUUAAUGAGGACCAGUUUUUAUCUCAAGCUAUUUUAGUCCUUUGCAAAUAUUGAGGAAUGUUAUAUCUGAUAAAAUUUACUUAGGUAUCUUAAUGAUAUAGAACUCUAAACCACUGUUUCAAAAUUGGCCAUGUCUCUAAAUGUGCAUGGACAUGUGACUCUCAUUUUAUUGAAAGAGACAAACCAUAUCAAUGAACUGAAAAUUAAAUAGAUGGCUAUUAGGUGCUCUAAUCCUAGAAAGCUCCUUGUCUUCUGUUGAUAUAAGAAGCUCUGUAAGAAGUAAAAUUGAAGUCACACUUCCAGUGCACACUAAGUGAUGAGACAGUAGGAAACACUGCACACAGAGAUAACCAAAUUUCCAAUGGGAAGAAAUGCCGAGAAGUACUGGGAGUGUGAGCACAACUCUCUGUUUGCAGUUGAGUAUCUUGCCUUGUCCCUUCCUGACGUUUUUCUCUUUCACCUCUCCAAAGUCUCUUUGGAGGGAGAGAGAGAGAGAGAGAGAGAGGUUCUUCUCUGCAAAUCUAUAAUUGCACAUGAAGUGUGAGGCAUGCUUCUUAUGUAAUGACAGUUUUAACAGCCUGCAGUUUGAUAGUGAAGUUACCCACAUGAAGAGCAAGUUCAAGGGAAAUUGCAUCCCGAGGAAAUACUUCUAAUACUGCUAGUGACUGGGAUGAGUAGAGAAUGGACAGCUUCUCUUCUCAACUGUGAUUUGACUAAGAUCAGAUAUGCUUGGUGUAUAUUUCACAGGUCGGCUCUUGAAGAUCAGGCUUUCGGCCUUGUCUGGGAAGAUCAGCCAGCUGAAGUGUGGGAAUGAUACCACACUGCUAAGUGCUUUCAGGACCCCAAAAUUUUGGCUCAUUCCUAGUGCAGAAACUUAGUCUCCCAGGAGAUUUGACCUGUGGAAAGCUGAGGAAUCUUUUUGGAUCCUUAGAGUGAUAUUAAGAUGCCUUCAUUCUCCUCUUGAAUUUAACAUAUGGAGGGAAAUUUUUAACAAUACACAGUGCAUUGAAAUGAAUUUGAGCACGUCAUUUUGAUUUGUCAAAUGUGCAUGGGCAAUUCACUUUAUUUUAGUACUAUUUGUCUGAGACGCAUGGGAAUUUUCAGCAGAAAACCAGUUAGAAUGAGACUAGGACUCAAAUGCCCUUAUCUAUCUAUCAUCUCUCCAUCAGUCUGUGUGUUUAGAUACUGAAUACGUUUGUGGAAUUAGCCCAAUGGGCAAAGGCACCAAAGGCAUUUAUUUGCCUCUAAAAAUAUUUCUUACAGCAAGAUGCAGAGAAGAAAAAGUAAGUGCUGUUCUUCUUAUUUUGUCUCAAGCUAUAGUACUUAAAUCCUCAUGUUAUUUCUCUGGAAAAAAUAAAAAUGAAAAGAUCCACAUUGAGAGCAUAUGGAGCAAUGUAACAUCAUGUAGGUUAAUUUGCUAAGCUCUUGAGAGCUGUUUCAUGUAAUAUAUGGUGCUAUGUGAUGUCUUGGCUUACUCCGGGCUGUGUGAGAGUUGAGCAUGAAUUCAGGCAUAACUUAGUGACUGUCAUUUUCAGUUCUGAAAAUACAUGGACACACCUGAUUUAUAAUAAAAGCGAGGAGCUAGUGACACUUGCCGUAAGGAAAUUACUAUUCAGUUUGGUGCCAGUUCCUGUUAAACUCUUCCAAUGUACUUUUGUCUUGGCUUGAGUUCUUCUGACUGCUCAAGCAGAAAGGUUUCUUGCAGCAGAGAACUGAGCCAACUGUUUAGAGGGUGUUUUUUUCCCCUAAUAAAACUUUACUGCACUUUUAUGUGAAUUUAGUGUUUGUGAAAGGCCCUGCUCUGAUGGCAUGGGCAACAGAGACCCUAAGUUCAUGCACAGCCCGCAGACAAUGCAAGCAGGACUGGUUCUGCCCUGCCACGUGUAUUCUUCAUCACAGCCCAAAUGUGAUUACUGAGACAGGUAAAACCUUGAUUCAGUCUCUGAUGAUCUUCCAUCAUUUUCUUUUCAUCUGACACCAUCACAAGGCUGCAGUCUGAUUUCAGCCCAUUAUGCACGUGAAGGCCAUAGACUGAGAGUCACAAUAAGCAAUAUACCAAGUGACAGGACACCUACCCCAGCUGGUACCAAGUGCAAAGAUAUGAUAUUUGACGUGCUCCUUGCAUUAGCUGGACAAUCUGACCUCUGAAAAUACAGAAAGAGUUUAUUAAGCAGCCCAGUGCUGGGAGCAAUGCCCAGGAGGGAAAUACAGAUGCUGCCACCACACAGGGCUCUGCAGGGAAGGAGGCUCAAGCAUCUUGAGCUGUCGUAGUUCUACCUAAGACAGUAGGUGGGUAGUUCAGCAAAGAAACUGUACCUCUAAGUAGCACAGCUUUGAGCACCAAGGCCACAUUUUACAGGUAUCUUGUUUAAGCAUUGAAAUCUAUAAAAUUAUGGCCGAGUUUCUUGGGCUAUAAGGAAAUUAAGAAGAUGCAUUUUGCCAUUUUUUGCUUUAAUCAGUAUUCUCUUUGAGUGAUACUGAAAGUACACGAAUAAUGGUCUGUGAAACAGUUAAGGUAAUUGAUGCUUUCACUGAGGCUUUAAAACAUAGAAGGAACUAAACAAGAAUGGAAAAUGUGCUUCUCAGUCUGGUAGGUGCAUUUUCUGGAGGUGGUAAGAAUACUUUCUAAAUAAAAAAAAAUUAUAUAUUAUAUAAUGUUAUAUAAUAUAGCAUCUUAUUAUUUGGGUCUUUCUGAGAGAGUAAUAUCAAGACAUAACUGGUUCUCUUGGAGAACUGUCUAAUUGUGAUCUGAGAUAGUUUUGUUUUAUCUCCCCAGUGAUUCACCUCUGAGGGGUUAAAGAAUCAUUUAAAUCUAUUAAGCUUCCAUUAAUCUGAGGCUGAAUUCAGUACAGAUGACAGUGUUUUGAGUUAAGUGCUACAACUGAAAGAUAAAAAAAUCUCACCUCAAAAUGUACUUUCUGAGCCUGCUAUUUCAAGUAAAAUGUAAUUGAAUGUUUUCUUAAUUUUUCCUUACUGUUUGUGCUUCUUAACGGCCUUCUGGGAUCUAUUAUUGUUAUGCUUAAUUUUACGUAUUAAGAAAUGGGAUAGAGAAGGGUUUGACAGAUAUAAUGGGAUAUGCCUCACUCACCUGUCCACCUACAAAGCAUAGUUACUCUAUGGCGCUGCAAACUCUGCUUCUUUCCAAGCUGCAGCUUGGCCCUGAGAAGCUUAUCUCAUUGCAUUUCACUUCAUGAUUCCCUACGAAUGCCUUGUACAUGAAGUUCCUGUAUGUUUUUUCAUUUAGGGAGAACUGCUGGGAAAGUUAAUAUGUUAAUAUGUUUCAAGUAAUUCUGUACAUGAAUCACAGCAGGUUUAUUGCAGAUUGUUGUGUGAUGGUAUCUUGGAUUCCUGACAAAACAACCUACUUAGGAUCUGAACCUGCAUAUGCGCCAAGUGCACAGAGGCUGGUUGUAUUUAGUUUAACAACACUAAUUUAAUUAAACUGGCUUAUUAUCUGGCUUUUAAUUUGCAACCUGAGUUUAAUGAGACCUUUUCUCUUGUUUUAUCUUCCUCUUCCUCUUUUCUCUCUUCUCCCCUCCUUUCUCCUUUCUCUUUCUCUUUCUCUUUCUCUUCUCUUCAUCCACUUCCUCUCUGUUUCUCUCCCUGAGAGCUUGGGCAGUAUCAGAAGACUAUGGUUUGAAAGAUGAGCAUGUGUAGGUAACAAUCCUUUGGAGUUGUGCAGAGCUAUUAAUGGUCUCUGGUAUACACCACCCUUGGAACACUAUCACUGAGAUAAUGGAGAACUUCCAUGAAUCUGGGCCACUCAAAAAUAGGGCGGAUCUCGGGUGGUAACUAAAGGCUCAUUGUACUUUACUCAGCAUAGAGGAAACUGCUUAGGAGUUUUCUAACUGGCAAAAGCUGUAUGAACUGCUUACCCCCCAAAUUAGAGCCUGAAAUGCCUUUAAGUGCCUCCACAGACUCAUUUUGUCCCUCUGUGCAGCACAAGUGUGGGGCAGCACAUGUGCGAUGCUGCCUCCUGCCCAGGAGCAGGGCCAUCUGAUGCAAAGCAAGGCAGCAAACUGCACACAGGAAGGCCCUUGCCUGCUGCCACAGCUGCUCCUGCUGCUAAUUGAUGCUGUGUAUCUGUGGCAUCAUCCCAGCAACUAUUUUAGUUGGUUUCCAGCUGUGAAGGUUUUUGUCUCACAGCUAGUGGUAUCUUUGCAGCUGGUAGAGCAAGGUAAAAAUAAACACAACUAAUUCAGCAGAGCAAAGAGAGGGAAUGUUCACAGAAAUUAAAAAACAAUUUUAUCCAAAGUCAUUUGGGAGAGAUAUCUGUGUCUGUGAGGAGAAAGGAUGAUUUGCAUUGAAAAGAGUUGGUCACUUGCCUGUGACUUCCAAGGAAAGGGAAAUAUUUCUGUGUGAAUGUUGACUUUAUGAAAUGUGCUAAAUGCUGAAAUUUUCCACACAUCAAACUCUGGUGAUAUUAUUGACAGCUCCUCUACAAUGUUCCACACAUAUAUGUAUGGAACAUAUAUGUUCAAAUAUGUACUGCACAGGAGGCGUUCUGAAGAAUUACUUCACUUAUGAUUUUUAACAAACUCCCCACUUGUUUUCAAGCAGCAGUUAAGUAACUACUGCUAGUUAGAGGGCUUGUUUUUCCUACCUUAGCUUGGGUAUUUUUCUUUCAUAAAAAGUUUAAAAAAACCCUGUACUACCAAGCUCAUGUCUCCUGUUUCUCCAUAACUCCUCCAAUAAUACCCAUGUUAACCCUUAAACCUCCAGCAGCACUAAAAGUGGCUCUGCAGGUUCUAGGUUGCACCACCCCGUUUUGGUAUUUGCAUUUAUCUUAAAUCCUUGUCGUUUCUCAUAGUAUUUUGAAAAAUGUAGGACAUGUACUUGAUAAUGCUUAAGACUAUCUUAGGACAUUCAGUAUCUUAGGAAACUUUAUGUUCUCAGAAGGAAAAUUUUGCCUACAACAUAGAAAAAUGUAUUUUUAUUUUUAUUUGUUCUUUCCUUUGCUUUCAUGUUUUGAAAUAUUUAUUUUUACUGUUUUACCUUAGAGUUUUGGACACAACAGCAUGACUUGUACAUCACAAACCCAGAUGCACAAUGCCUACACUCUAGCUUGGAAAUGUUCUGCUCAUUUCAAAUUUGCAAUACAUUACUUUCUACCUGAACUUAGGAAACUGACAUUCAGAAGUCAGUCACAUUACCUAGAAUGCAAAUAUAUGCUACUUAUAGUGGCAAUGCAUGAACUAACAGAAAGUUAAAAUAAAUUUAACUUUACUUACUUUUAUCAAAUUGGCUUGCUCAACUAUUCUGUUUACAGUAUCAUCAAGUGUUUAUUUAAUACAUUCUUAUCUGUUCUGUUUUAUAAUGAAAAAUUGGUACCUAGGAACAUAGGAACAUAAACAUUGCAACAUUAAGUAAUUUCAUAGAACUAUAUUUAGAUAAUCAACAACUAUAGACUCCCCACUUAAUCUUUUUUUUUCAGCAUAUUUAUUUAUUGACUCCCUCCAAAAGAAAAAAAAAAAGUAUAAUUUACAUAGCUUCUUAAAUUUUGAAUUCCCUUCAACACUAGUUCUAAAUCCUGUAUGUGAUGGGACUGAAACCCACCUGUUCUUGCAGAAUAGCUUGAACACCAGCUGGCCAAAACCUGACGGAGGACUUGCGUCAUGGCAGUCUCUGCCCACAAACCUGAAAUUGCUGUACUGGAAUGAAUGCUAUUUAGAGAGAGAUCUCUUCAUUGCUUAAACACUAUUCUUAAUCCAUUCUUUCUCAUAAAAGUCACUUAAGAUAAUUUCCAUUGGAUGUCCUUCCUUAAGGGGUCAGUGACUCAAGGAGAAAUAACUUUGAGAGUUGGGAGAUGAAAAACUUUCUGGAAUAAACAAGUUUUUCUCUUUUCUCAGAGCAUCCCGUUCCUUUUAUCAAGCCACCUAGGUAGAUUCUUGAAUCCACCUCCUGGAAAGGAGGCAUAAACCUGCUGCCUGAGCUGUCUUAAGAGCUUGAUCAAGCAGUGAGAGGAGUGAUGCAUGGACCUUUUAGAGCAUCCUAGUUGAGAGCAUGCACCUAGCAGCAGAGAGGUGAUCUUUUAAAUCGUGCUAAUACUCCUGCGACAACUGUCUGUGUCCUAAAUGCCUCACAAAAGAAUUGUACGAAGCAAAACAUCAAUAUUAUUGUCAACGGGCAAAUUUUUACCUCUGCUGUCAGGAAAAUAUUUGUUUUACUAUGCUAGAAGAUGGACCCUGAUAUCUACCAGCAUAAUUUUAUUAUAAGAGAAAAGGCUUAUGUCUGCAGGACAGCAAAGGACAAAACUGGGUGCUCACCUUUCUUCUUGGUACAGAGAGGCUCAAGUAUUUGCUGAGGAAUUUUUCUGGAAUGUUCCCUCUGAGGCAAAGUUUGGUCUUCAUGAGUAAGUCCUACCAAAAAAAGAGAGUGGGUUGUGAGGAGCUUUAAAUAUCAGAAAGGAAAAUCAGAAUAACAAAAAUAUACUGUUGUCUAUGUUCAGAAAAUUACACUAGAGAGGUGGUGCGUAGGUUGCUCUGAAAAUAAUGCCCCAUAUUUACUUCAAUGGAAACUCCAACAGAUACAAUGAGCACAGUAACACUACUUGAUUGGGCAAAUUGUCUGUUACAAAACACUAUUUUUUAACAGAGUCACCACCAUUAGCUAUGCAUUUUCACCAACAGUGAACAAGAACCUUGUAUGGGGACUUCUGAAUCACGGCCUGAACCUCUGAUUAAUCACCUGAGGCAACCAGUGAGUCAGCCAUGGGUGCACAGAUGAAGGCAAUUCACCUGUGCUGUCGUAAGGAGUGGAGCCUGGCUCCACCUCUCCUAGACCCAUUUCAGAGCUGACCACCAGUGGGGAAGGAUCUCUUCUGGAGAUCUACUCCACUGGAGUUUCCCAUGCAAGCCCAGGUUAUGGGUGAGUGUACCUAUCAUUUCUGUUUCCUGCUUUGGUAUAAUAACAUCCUAGCCAAGCUCUCUGUUAUACCUUAACAUCUGUAUAUUCAUUAAUUAUACAAACCUACAUGCCGUGCUCAUAAAAAUCUGUGCCAGUGGAAGUGACCACUGGCACCACAGCUGAAACGCACCAUCUCACUGUACUCAUACCCACCGUUUUUCUCCAUGAACGUUCAGCAAGUGCUGAGGAAGGUCACUGGGUCGCAUUCACACACCUUUGCCUCAUGUGCACUUCCAUGUCAGAUACUAUUUGUCAGGCUGCCCCCUUGCUACCAUCUGUUACACAGCAAGAACGUGUAGCUGUUGGUGGGAAGGUUCAGCCUCUAGUGCCACACCACCAGCAUCUGCCUCUAAUGCUAUGGGUCGUCAUAAUAAAAUAGGAGGCAUUAUUUUUAGAGCAUGCGUUGUAUUUGAGAGGACUUAUGAAGCACCCUGUGCAGUUUUGAGACCCUGCUCACAAGAAAUUAUUUUGUAAAAUAAUGUUUUUUAGAAGGUUAAUAUUGAGCGCUGAUGUGAACAUAGACUUUUAAAGAAGCUGCUUCUAGCACAAAGCUUGCCUCGCUCCUUCUUAAGGAAAGACUUGAGAUACAAACCAUGAAAGGGAAAAAAAGAAAUGAAGCUACUGGAAGAUGCUAUGUUUCAGGGAAUUGCCUGUCUUUCUACCAAGGGUGAGACCUUUUUGCCAAGUAGCUGCAAACAUUUUUAUCUAAUAACAAAUUACCGUGUGUUUUCCAUUUGGCUAAAAGUAACAUGAAUGUCAGACACUGGGCCUGAAGUACCAUCUGCUCAUUAUUUUUAUUUAGAAUUUCUCUUUUCAUUAGGUCUUUUUUGGUUGCAGUAAUGAUAAAGAAUAAAUAAGACAGAUCACUUAAAACUCUAUUCAUCAGGCUUGUUAGCUGCAUGGGAGCUGGUGAUAGAAUUUGUAGUUCCUAUACCAGCUGAACUUAAUGCUGUUCGUGAACUUUAAACUUCCUGACACUGAUGAAAUGAGGCUAGACUUUAGACUUUAGCUCAUAACAGUUUUCUGAUUACUUAUUUGGAUUCCCAGGUGGAUAACUGUUACUUCAGUUAUUUCAGAAAAAAGAAUUGAUGAAAACACGGAUGUGAUUAGAAGUACAACGCCCACAGAUUUCAUGUUCCUACUCUCCCUCGAGGACUAGAGUGUUGCAUCCAAUGGCAGUAAAUUGUUCUCAGUGUGUGGCACCACAACAUGACAAGAGAGCAAUGCCAGAUUUCCUGCAGCAGUGUCCCUGACCACAACACUGCCUGGACCCUCCAGCUAGCACAGAUGAAGACAGGGACUCAUCUUGCCACUGGCAGAUGCAUUCCGGAUGUUGCUCAGUUUCUGGCUUUUGGUUCCAUCUCUGUGCAGAGUUUUAUAGUAUGUCUUCAGUUACAGUUCAUAAGCAGAUACAGAAGAAAAUAUUACAUUUACACUGGGAGGCCUCCAUUCCAUUUAUUUAAGCCCAACCGACUCUGACUUUGUCCCCAUUUCAGUACAGUACACUUUUCUCAAACCGUGAGAAUUAAGUGCUGUGAAUAUUUAACAACUGAUUUCCCAAGUUGGUGAUCUUGUUUAAAAGGUUACAGUACCAUGCUUUCUUGACUUUAAUUUAGUGUGUCUUUCAUUUUGUUGUCUGAUUUGUAUGACACUUACAAGAUAAAUGCUCUGUUUUGUCAAUGCCCCCGUAUAGUAAAUCAUAUUCCUGUAAUUUGUCACACUGAUUGUUUCUGUGAAUAGAGAUCAUUGAUGAAAAGCUACUUAGAAAAUAAGACUUAAUUUAUGAAUGAAAUAAGCCUAACCUGGAAGGAAUCUAUUGAUGUUUUUCUUCCCUGAGCAUUGAAUAAAAUAUGUAAAAGAUUACUUUCUUGUACUGGGGUGCAAUAUUUUGACAGGACAUCAAAAUCCUUACUUCUAAUGACUAAAGUACAGCUAGAUUUGAGUGAGUCAAGAAAAAUGAACAUGUACUCAGCUGUACUAGAUUAUUCGUGUUCUAGACUUUGUUUGCUCCAUCUCUUAAUUACAGGUUAAAAACAUUAAAAUUAACCAUCUGUAAACAUGAGACAGACCUCUCAUCUUAAAAUUAACCAUCUGUAAACAUGAGACAGUCCUCUCAUCUGUGUUGUUAGGCUCGGAGACAAGGAAAAAAGAUCAGAGAACAAAUGCUUAGCUGUGCCUUUCUCUCUUGGCCUUUCCAUUUAUGAGGAGCAAGGUAAAUGCACUGGAUGACCAACAUGCACUCAACCAAACAGAACAUCUUGUGUUUUACAUAGCAGCUGAUAGUUCUCCUCUUACAAGUGAUCUGAAUAUGUAGACUGAGGAAUGUGAGCUGCCAGGAUGGUCCUUCAUGGGGAAUGCUCAAGAUGACUUGGGGAGAUGCCUGGUAUGAAGCACCAUGCAGGCCUUUAGCUUCUCUUGGGAACUGAAACACACAGAGAGCCCUACUGAAGGUCUCAGUUAUGGUUAGAUAAUGGUCGGAGGAUUGAAAUGAGAGAAGGGCCUGUUUAGCUGCCUUAGCUGUUUAUUUGCUUACCCUUCAUGUCCCUUUCUGAAGUCUCAUUCUGGAGCCUCUUUUCUUCAGAUCCUGAGCAGAGAUGAGAAAAAUUUGGGCUUGAUUGAUAUUUUUUUUUCCCCUCCCCUCUUUGCUAAGGGAAGUAGAAGAUGCAUUAGUGUGAGAUACUAUCAUGUCUUUCUCCCACCACAUAUCUUGUUCAUUGGCUGCCUAUGCAGAAGAGGUUGUUAACACUGGAGGAGCAAAUGCAGUGACAGUCAUACUCUGUGAUCACGUAUGACCCUUCCUGCAAUCACAGAUAACAGUGCACAUGCAACCAUGGUCAGACUUGGCUCAUUAAUAACGGCACUGAAAAAACGUAGAUUAGAUUUAUCUUCAAGGCCAAAACUGGAAGUUUGAGUCUUCCAAAUUAGUCGGUUUUGAAAUCUAUACAUUCCAACAGGUAACUGUUUUGUGCAGCCAAAGAACUCAAGACGUGAUCAAGACUGUACAUAUGUAACUUGCUGACUUAUGGGCUGGAGAGAUGUGAAGGGAAUGUAAUGAAGCAACUGUAAGUAAUAGAACAAUAGGUUAUGAGUUAAAAGGGAAAAAAAGAUCAAGUUAUCAAUACACCUGUUGGAAUUUCCUGAGUUAAAGUAUGAUUUUCUGAUUAAGAGAGAUUUUAAAUGACUUAAAUAGUUGGAUAAACAUUAGCAGAAGAAAAUCUAUGAGAAACAUCCCGAGUCCCCUGAAGCAUUCAAAAUGUCUUUUCUACUAAUUUUCCCUUUCUUUGUCAAUAAGCUAAUUAAGAACUAGGGCUAUAUUUUCUUCCAAAACUUUUUAUUUAUUGAAAAAGAAUUGAAUUGAAUGAAAAAAUGAAUGUUAAGACAAAAAUUCCAAUAAAUUUAUAUCUUGAAAAUGUGCUGGUGGAUGUUAAAGAUGCUUCUGAUUUUUUUUUUCCUCCUGUUUUUAUGCUUUCUGUGGUUCCCAGUGUCUUUCAGCAAGCAAUAGACUGUUAAAAUAUCUGAUUGCUUUGCUACUUUUGGGAAAAUCAGAUAGAUUGCUUUUACGUGUACUGAAGAAACGUAGUGCAAGUUUUCAUACCACUAAAACUCCUCCUGUGAGUCAAUCUAUUUCUUAAGAGCAUUCCUGAGCACCCCAGUUAAUUCAACCCAAUUGCUACUGCUGGCAUUUUGCCUUUCUACAUCUUCUCUCCAAUUGUAAUCAGCUGCUCUGUAAUCAUUUGUUUCAAAGUGAAAUGGACGUGGAUUUAUUAUUUAUCUAUCUAUCUAUCUAUCUAUCUAUUUAUUUAUUUAUGUCUGUGUUCAAAACCAUUCCAAACACCAGCAAAAAGCGUGUCAGUACCACAGAGUCUGUUAGGCUGUUCUUUCUUUGCAGGAGGAAAGAAGAUAGUAGGCUUCAGAAGAUAUGUUUUUAUGACCACUGCUAUAGAAAUAAUAAAAUAAAACCUGCAGUAUUUUGACAGUUUUUAUUCAUACAUUUACAACCUAAAACAAAUGAAUAAAAAAACUACGUUAUUGUACAUCUGAUCACAAGGCGACAAAAUAUGUACAAAAAUUGUUAAAAAAUAUUAAGCCUACAAAAUUAUAGAAGGAUAUAUAGAAGGUAGGGUAUGUGUAGGGUUAGGUUGGUGGGGAAACUAUCAAGGAAAUUUUGUAAUAAACAUUUCUCAUACUCCAGCUACGACAGAAAACAUUGUGUAUUGAAGGAAUAAAAUCAGGCAGCCCUGCCACAUGAGGGAUAUUAUAUCAUGUAACAUUGAAGGCAUUAUACUGCAGUAUUUCAAGAGCUGAUAAAGAGAAUCGUGGUAUAUCAUCAUUUUUUGUUCCAUGAAACAAUGGAACAGCACUGGAAAGAAGAAACCAUCAGAUGACGCUGUGUCCAGGGUUCCAGUGAAGUCAGAGCAAGAGCCAAAUCAGCAGGGAAAGCAUCAGAGGAAUAAUGGGGGAAAAAAAUGCAGAUAAGAUCAGUAAUGAGAAACUUCUACCUACUUUAUUCAAAGUGAUUAUGGAAUGAGUCUUUGUGACUUUUUAUGGAACACAUUAAAAAAACAAGAUUCUCCCACACCCUCUUACAGGUAGGUGGUGAUAGUUUCCUUCGUUCACUCUGUGUAAUCCAACUGCCAAUGACCCCCAGUAACAUCAUGUACUUAGUAGUCCUCCUGAUAGUCCUUAAAGACUGCAUUAACCUCUUUUUGCAUUAAGGACAGGAACCUGCACCAUUUGAUACCUAUUAAAGGAGUGAUUGGGUAUCUGAAAAUAUUUCACCAAAUAUUUCUCCUCUUAGCGAACAAAUGAGUCAGACAGAAAAUUAGACAUCUUAAGUGAUGCUUGCUGUAAACACAUACAAUUCACACUGAUGAAAAGAUUUCCUUUAGCUUGCCAUGUAACAACCUGGCCUCAUGAUUGUCCUCAGGAAAGAGUUUAUGGUAGGUGGAUGCUCUGCACACGUGGAGCACAAAAUUCUGGGGUCAGGCAACUCCUGCUCAAAAUUAAAAAUGAGAUGCAGAUGUACACUGAGGUCUGUAGGAGUGCUUUUGGAAAACUGCCUAAAAUCUAAGUUAACCCAGUGAGUCACCAGCUUCCAGCAGCCUUCCUUUGCCAUCCUGCAGGCUGCAGAACCAGUGAAAGGGCAUCAAUACCAGAAGAAAAACUUCCUCCUUCCGGGUGCAAUUCUGCCACUUUUACUUGAGUUAUUUGGUUUAAAAUACUACCAUACUGUAUUCAGGGAUCAGCUGAAUAGUUCUUUUGAGACUGAUGUUUUAUUUUACUUUUUCUUUACAAUCAAUUUUAGAAGGGUAAAGCACAGUGCUAGGAAAACUAGGAAAUGUGUAUAAAAUUACGGAGCAGUGACUCUGUGGGGAAAAUGUUUACCCUGUGGGCUUUUCUCUUUAGAACACAACUGCUUGAAAGUAUCACAUUAAAUACUAAUGUGUGUGUAUUUAAAGAAGGUACAAUAUAUGAGAGGAGAAAAGCCUAUGAAGUGAGUAAGGUGGAGCUGCUGUGGUUAAGCACUCCUCACAGAACACUGCCAUGGUGCCAUGAAAUCCCACGUAAGUGGUCAGAACACAAGUAAGAGCUGCCUGUGGGUAGUCCCAACCUAUUCACAAGCCCUUUUGAACAAUUUUCCUACUUUUUUAAAUACUGUUUUUGGCAAAUAUUCGAUACUUGAAAUACAAAAUGCAUGAGUCACCUACUGGGACAGGCACAGUGUGGGGUUUAUUGAAUUUAGCUAAAUUGUGAGUCAUCUAUCAAAAGUCCUCAUAGUGAAAAUACUUGUAAUAAUUUCACACAUUACAAACAAGAGUAGGUAUGAUUUUUCAAGAUUUUUUGAAGUAUUUUUCACUUGGAGAUUUUACUCUUUGUGUUUCACUUUAUGUUGUAGGAAAUUGUUAACUUUUUAGUGCCGCAGAUUAAAAGGAAAGGUGGUUACUGCUCAUCAGUUUAAACAACAAAGAUCAGAAAUGCAAAACCUGACAUAGUACAAAACACUGUUGUACAAAGCAAAGCCCUCAACAUGAGAUUGAAUACAAAUUCUUCUUGUGCCACUGUUGAGAUUUAUUAUUCUACCAGCACAUCAAUUUCUGUUGAGAUAGGUAGUUUUAAAAUUUAGAGGCAGCAGUUCUCAAGGGGAGAGCUGCAAAUUACCACAGAUUCCGAGUUGCCAAAAACAUGUGGUAGUUCUGUGUGUGGGUAGGGGAUAGUUUUUUUUGGUGUAGGUUGGAAGGAGGAAACUCAUGAGCAGAAGAUAAAGAUGUGAAAAAUAGGAGUGUAUUAAAUACUGUCAGAAUUGUCAUCUGUUUACUACAUAAAAGCAUAAACAGCUCAAAGAUGAAGAUAAAGGCAGAAAAGCACCAAGGAAGCUUCUGAACAAAUUCCUGAGUGGGAUGGACCUGAAUGCCUCUGACGUACACGAUGGGUGGUCUUCUUCAGAGCCAGCUCUUGAGCUGGGCCUUCCCCUAACGUUUGUCAUAGGCGCUUCGCCCAGGCGUUCCCUCCGCCUCUCGCCCCCCUUCCUCUGCUGGCAGGAGAC